UACGUAGGUGGCAAGCGUUGUCCGGAUUUACUGGGCGUAAAGAGCGCGCAGGCGGUCGUUCAAGUCGCGUGUGAAAGCCCCCCGGCUCAACUGGGGAGGGUCACGCGAUACUGAUCGACUCGAAGGCAGGAGAGGGAAGUGGAAUUCCUGGUGUAGCGGUGAAAUGCGCAGAUAUCAGGAGGAACACCGAUGGCGAAGGCAGGUCUCUGGGCCGAUACUGACGCUGAGGAGCGAAAGCGUGGGGAGCGAACAGG
rnacentral:rRNA from 1 species